UCUAUAUUUUUUUUUAUGAGUAAAAUAUUGGAUAAAUAGGAAUGAAUUUGAUCAACAUUUAUUCACAUCCAAUAAAAUGCCCCGUCGCCCGCUACCAACUUGGGAACUUGCCCACAUUCCCUAAUUUUGUAAACGACAAUCCGCGGGCUAUUUCAAACGUGAAUAAUGGCAAGAUCCCUAAAGAAAUUCGGAUUCUGGAAUAUGUUACGUCAAAGAAAAAAAUUCGUGGGCAAAACCUAGUUUUAUUGUAUUAUCCAGUUUUAUUCGAUUUGUUUAGUCCUAUUUGGUUUUAUUUUAUUUAGUUUGGUUUUUUUAAGAUAAAUUCAAUUUAAAAAAUUGAUAAUAAUUUUCAACUCAUUUUCGCAAUUUGGCAAAUCCAAAACCUGGCAUCCCCUUUGUCAUUGAUCAUUGCAGACUACAAUUUAGCGAACGACACAUGAAAGAUGGAAAAUGAAACGUCUUUUUCUUAAAAAUUAAAUGUUUGAGAGUGCGUGAAAAUACUAGAAAUCAUUGAUAAAACCUACAAGGAAGCCAAACAACAACGGACAUUCUACUAUUUUGACAGGAAAAGAAACUUCUCUUUAACGCUUACACUCCAAGUGGCGGCGUUGUUGAUGAAAAAGUACAUCGCGGGAAUCCCAAAAAGAAAUGCACAGACCAUGUGAAAUAUCGCGUGACACAAGAUCUUCUCGCCAUGCCACACUUUCAUGAAGAUGUAGAAAGUGAAAUACAAAAACAGAUUAGUGACGAGGAUUCCAAGCAUGUAGGAAGCGAAAUCUGGAGGACGGUACACCAAUCCAUACAUCGCCCAACCCAUAUUGGCGAUGAAGCUGUGCGCUUGCCUGUGCAUUCAUAAUCGUCAGCCUUGACGACGAAAACAACGAAGAAUCCAUCGGGGAAUCGUUCUCGCUGAACAGAAUAUAAACACAGAGGCGGGAACGAGGUUCAUAAAUUGGCCGCGCUGCUUCCCCACAUCCGGUUCUCACAGUUUGGCACAUCUGCAUUCUGCAAAACUACAAAAACAACCUACUAACAAAACCUCAAAUACAAUAUGGCGUUUAAUUAAAGUAUGACUUAUUGGAAUGUUUGAUUGUAAUAACUAAUAAGCAUUUUACAAAAGAGUCCAUACUCCAUUCAUGUAAAGUUUACUUUUUUUCUCGAUUGCCCGUGUAGCACGUAUAAUUCAUUGGUGUCUCGUCUCCUAACACGUGAUUGAAACCUGUUGAAACAAUGACAGUCAAGACAAGGAAACGUUUAGAGCAUUCUAGAAUUUACAAAUUUACAUCGAUUUAAGAAAUGAGGCGUGGAUUGUUUUUCGCCACUGUAUUUCCAACCUCUCCAUGUCGAAAGAAGAGUAUUGUUUAUCUCAACUGCUGAUUUACUACCAUUCCUUCUUCUGGAUUUCUGUGUGAACCAAGAGAUUAUCAGGUGACAGUUGUUGAAUGUUUUCUUGUGUUUACUUAAAUAAAAAUGAUAAGAUUUCCCUUAUGAUUUAAUUUUAAUAUGGAAUUUCCUUCAUCAUCUGU
rnacentral:lncRNA from 1 species